rnacentral:rRNA from 1 species
GCGUGGGCAGCUACCUGCAGUCGAGCGGAACGAGUUAUCUGAACCUUCGGGGGACGAUAACGGCGUCGAGCGGCGGACGGGUGAGUAAUGCCUAGGAAAUUGCCCUGAUGUGGGGGAUAACCAUUGGAAACGAUGGCUAAUACCGCAUGAUGCCUACGGGCCAAAGAGGGGGACCUUCGGGCCUCUCGCGUCAGGAUAUGCCUAGGUGGGAUUAGCUAGUUGGUGAGGUAAGGGCUCACCAAGGCGACGAUCCCUAGCUGGUCUGAGAGGAUGAUCAGCCACACUGGAACUGAGACACGGUCCAGACUCCUACGGGAGGCAGCAGUGGGGAAUAUUGCACAAUGGGCGCAAGCCUGAUGCAGCCAUGCCGCGUGUGUGAAGAAGGCCUUCGGGUUGUAAAGCACUUUCAGUCGUGAGGAAGGUGGUGUAGUUAAUAGCUGCAUCAUUUGACGUUAGCGACAGAAGAAGCACCGGCUAACUCCGUGCCAGCAGCCGCGGUAAUACGGAGGGUGCGAGCGUUAAUCGGAAUUACUGGGCGUAAAGCGCAUGCAGGUGGUUUGUUAAGUCAGAUGUGAAAGCCCGGGGCUCAACCUCGGAAUUGCAUUUGAAACUGGCAGACUAGAGUACUGUAGAGGGGGGUAGAAUUUCAGGUGUAGCGGUGAAAUGCGUAGAGAUCUGAAGGAAUACCGGUGGCGAAGGCGGCCCCCUGGACAGAUACUGACACUCAGAUGCGAAAGCGUGGGGAGCAAACAGGAUUAGAUACCCUGGUAGUCCACGCCGUAAACGAUGUCUACUUGGAGGUUGUGGCCUUGAGCCGUGGCUUUCGGAGCUAACGCGUUAAGUAGACCGCCUGGGGAGUACGGUCGCAAGAUUAAAACUCAAAUGAAUUGACGGGGGCC